rnacentral:rRNA from 1 species
UACGAAGGGGGCUAGCGUUGCUCGGAAUCACUGGGCGUAAAGGGUGCGUAGGCGGGUCUUUUAAGUCAGGGGUGAAAUCCCACGGCUCAACCGUGGAAGAGCCUUUGAUACUGCGGGCCUCGAGGGAGGUAGGGGCGUGCGGAACUUCCGGUGGAGCGGUGAAAUGCGUAGAUAUCGGAAGGAACAUCGGUGGCGAAAGCGGCGCGCUGGACCUCUUCUGACGCUGAGGCGCGAAAGCCAGGGGAGCAAACGGGG